rnacentral:rRNA from 1 species
UUAGAGUUUGAUCCUGGCUCAGAUUGAACGCUGGCGGCAGGCUUAACACAUGCAAGUCGAGCGGGGGAAGGUAGCUUGCUACUGGACCUAGCGGCGGACGGGUGAGUAAUGCUUAGGAAUCUGCCUAUUAGUGGGGGACAACAUCUCGAAAGGGAUGCUAAUACCGCAUACGUCCUACGGGAGAAAGCAGGGGAUCUUCGGACCUUGCGCUAAUAGAUGAGCCUAAGUCGGAUUAGCUAGUUGGUGGGGUAAAGGCCUACCAAGGCGACGAUCUGUAGCGGGUCUGAGAGGAUGAUCCGCCACACUGGGACUGAGACACGGCCCAGACUCCUACGGGAGGCAGCAGUGGGGAAUAUUGGACAAUGGGGGGAACCCUGAUCCAGCCAUGCCGCGUGUGUGAAGAAGGCCUUAUGGUUGUAAAGCACUUUAAGCGAGGAGGAGGCUACUCUAGUUAAUACCUAGGGAUAGUGGACGUUACUCGCAGAAUAAGCACCGGCUAACUCUGUGCCAGCAGCCGCGGUAAUACAGAGGGUGCGAGCGUUAAUCGGAUUUACUGGGCGUAAAGCGUGCGUAGGCGGCUUAUUAAGUCGGAUGUGAAAUCCCCGAGCUUAACUUGGGAAUUGCAUUCGAUACUGGUGAGCUAGAGUAUGGGAGAGGAUGGUAGAAUUCCAGGUGUAGCGGUGAAAUGCGUAGAGAUCUGGAGGAAUACCGAUGGCGAAGGCAGCCAUCUGGCCUAAUACUGACGCUGAGGUACGAAAGCAUGGGGAGCAAACAGGAUUAGAUACCCUGGUAGUCCAUGCCGUAAACGAUGUCUACUAGCCGUUGGGGCCUUUGAGGCUUUAGUGGCGCAGCUAACGCGAUAAGUAGACCGCCUGGGGAGUACGGUCGCAAGACUAAAACUCAAAUGAAUUGACGGGGGCCCGCACAAGCGGUGGAGCAUGUGGUUUAAUUCGAUGCAACGCGAAGAACCUUACCUGGCCUUGACAUACUAGAAACUUUCCAGAGAUGGAUUGGUGCCUUCGGGAAUCUAGAUACAGGUGCUGCAUGGCUGUCGUCAGCUCGUGUCGUGAGAUGUUGGGUUAAGUCCCGCAACGAGCGCAACCCUUUUCCUUACUUGCCAGCAUUUCGGAUGGGAACUUUAAGGAUACUGCCAGUGACAAACUGGAGGAAGGCGGGGACGACGUCAAGUCAUCAUGGCCCUUACGGCCAGGGCUACACACGUGCUACAAUGGUCGGUACAAAGGGUUGCUACACAGCGAUGUGAUGCUAAUCUCAAAAAGCCGAUCGUAGUCCGGAUUGGAGUCUGCAACUCGACUCCAUGAAGUCGGAACCGCUAGUAAUCGCGGAUCAGAAUGCCGCGGUGAAUACGUUCCCGGGCCUUGUACACACCGCCCGUCACACCAUGGGAGUUUGUUGCACCAGAAGUAGCUAGCCUAACUGCAAAGAGGGCGGUUACCACGGUGUGGCCGAUGACUGGGGUGAAGUCGUAACAAGGUAGCCGUAGGGGAACCUGCGGCUGGAUCACCUCCU